UGGCAAGAUGGCCGAGUUGGUCUAAGGCGUUAGACUCAAGAAAUCUUCUUCGCUGUUAAACAGUGAGCAUUCUAAUCUCGCAAGAGGCACGGGUUCGAAUCCCGUUCUUGUCAU
rnacentral:tRNA from 1 species